rnacentral:misc_RNA from 1 species
GAUGAAGAACGUAGCGAAAUGCGAUAAGUAAUGUGAAUUGCAGAAUUCAGUGAAUCAUCGAAUCUUUGAACGCACAUUGCGCCCGCCAGUAUUCUGGCGGGCAUGCCUGUUCGAGCGUCAUUUCAACCAUCAAGCCCCCGGCUUGUGUUGGGGACCUGCGGCUGCCACAGGCCCUGAAAAGCAGUGGCGGGCUCGCUGUCACACCGAGCGUAGUAGCAUACAUCUCGCUCUGGGCGUGCUGCGGGUUCCGGCCGUUAAACCACCUUCAUAACCCAAGGUUGACCUCGGAUCAGGUAGGAAGACCCGCUGAACUUAAGCAUAUCAAUAAGCGGAGGA